rnacentral:tRNA from 4 species
GGUGGGGUUCCCGAGCGGCCAAAGGGAGCAGACUGUAAAUCUGCCGUCAUCGACUUCGAAGGUUCGAAUCCUUCCCCCACUACCA